rnacentral:lncRNA from 1 species
UUCUUAUACACAUCAUUUAAAGGCUUUUCCUCUUUAUAAAUUUUUUUUGUGUGUUAAUUUUUGAUGAGAGUGCAGUAGCAGUUUAUAAUGCUAUGGUUGGCAUUUAAGAUGAAUAGUGGCUGAUGAACUAUUAAAAGAUACACUUCUCAUUUAUGUUUCAAGAGGAAGGUAUUAUAUAAUUGUCAUCUUUAAGUAAGAGGGAAAGUAUUGGGAGUAUUUUCUGUGUAGUCUCUGUGCUAUUUAGCGUUUCAUUUCGAUGGUUAAAUGGCAUUCUCUGGCUGUCCAGGUCAUAUGGCAGUUUCCAACAUCUGAAAGGCAUUACGGGAAAUACUGUGCAGCCCUAUUAGGAAGGUGCUGAAUGUGUCUGAGAUACGACUCACUCCGUAGUGGGAGGGAACAUUGCUCAGCAGCUUCCCGGCUGCCUGAAAGCCAGAGUGAUUUCUGAGUCCCCAUUCAGUUCUCUAUCCAUUUCUUAAUCCAAUUCCUUUCCAUUUCAAGGAGGAAAGUCAAGAUAUCUUUACUCAGUGGAAGAAUGAUGUAGUUUCCUCCUAACCUUCUUUUCUUAUGCUUCCAGAUGCCCUCUGGAAGGUUACGAUGGGAAUGAGCCUGACGACUUGGACGGUUUCCCCGACUUGUUGCCUCUGCCCGCAAGUUUGUCCUUCGGAAGUCAGGAAAGUGCUGCGCGUGGUGGUGGCCUCCCAGGAACAAGGCGU